GAUGAACGCUGGCGGCGUGCCUAAUACAUGAAGUCGCGCGAACAGACGAGGAGCUUGCUCCUCUGACGUUAGCGGCGGACGGGUGAGUAACACGUGGAUAACCUACCUAUAAGACUGGGAUAACUUCGGGAAACCGGAGCUAAUACCGGAUAAUAUAUUGAACCGCAUGGUUCAAUAGUGAAAGACGGUUUUGCUGUCACUUAUAGAUGGAUCCGCGCCGCAUUAGCUAGUUGGUAAGGUAACGGCUUACCAAGGCAACGAUGCGUAGCCGACCUGAGAGGGUGAUCGGCCACACUGGAACUGAGACACGGUCCAGACUCCUACGGGAGGCAGCAGUAGGGAAUCUUCCGCAAUGGGCGAAAGCCUGACGGAGCAACGCCGCGUGAAUGAUGAAGGUCUUCGGAUCGUAAAACUCUGUUAUUAGGGAAGAACAAAUGUGUAAGUAACUAUGCACGUCUUGACGGUACCUAAUCAGAAAGCCACGGCUAACUACGUG
rnacentral:rRNA from 1 species